UUUGUGAAAGUCUGUUUAGAUUAUCCCUUUUGAGAUAAGUGUUAAAGAAGCAGAAGAAGAUAUGUCUGCAAAACUUCUGUAUAACUUGUCAGAUGAGAAUCCAAAUCUUAAUAAACAGUUUGGAUGCAUGAAUGGGAUCUUUCAAGUGUUUUAUCGGCAACAUUGUCCGGCGAGACCAGUCGCCGUCUCUGGCCAUGUAGACAAGUCUUUGCCUCCAGGAGAUAGAAAAGAUAUCGUCGGUGAAACUAACAUGGAAAGUGA